GACGAACGCUGGCGGCGUGCUUAACACAUGCAAGUCGAACGGAAAGGCCCUGCUUUUGUGGGGUGCUCGAGUGGCGAACGGGUGAGUAACACGUGAGUAACCUGCCCUUGACUUUGGGAUAACUUCAGGAAACUGGGGCUAAUACCGGAUAGGAGCUCCUGCUGCAUGGUGGGGGUUGGAAAGUUUCGGCGGUUGGGGAUGGACUCGCGGCUUAUCAGCUUGUUGGUGGGGUAGUGGCUUACCAAGGCUUUGACGGGUAGCCGGCCUGAGAGGGUGACCGGCCACAUUGGGACUGAGAUACGGCCCAGACUCCUACGGGAGGCAGCAGUGGGGAAUAUUGCACAAUGGGCGGAAGCCUGAUGCAACAACGCCGCGUGCGGGAUGACGGCCUUCGGGUUGUAAACCGCUUUCGCCUGUGACGAAGCGUGAGUGACGGUAAUGGGUAAAGAAGCACCGGCUAACUACGUGCCAGCAGCCGCGGUGAUACGUAGGGUGCGAGCGUUGUCCGGAUUUAUUGGGCGUAAAGGGCUCGUAGGUGGUUGAUCGCGUCGGAAGUGUAAUCUUGGGGCUUAACCCUGAGCGUGCUUUCGAUACGGGUUGACUUGAGGAAGGUAGGGGAGAAUGGAAUUCCUGGUGGAGCGGUGGAAUGCGCAGAUAUCAGGAGGAACACCAGUGGCGAAGGCGGUUCUCUGGGCCUUUCCUGACGCUGAGGAGCGAAAGCGUGGGGAGCGAACAGGCUUAAAUACCCUGGUAGUCCACGCUGUAAACGGUGGGUACUAGGUGUGGGGUCCAUUCCACGGGUUCCGUGCCGUAGCUAACGCUUUAAGUACCCCGCCUGGGGAGUACGGCCGCAAGGCUAAAACUCAAAGGAAUUGACGGGGCCCCGCACAAGCGGCGGAGCAUGCGGAUUAAUUCGAUGCAACGCGUAGAACCUUACCUGGGUUUGACAUGGAUCGGGAGUGCUCAGAGAUGGGUGUGCCUCUUUUGGGGUCGGUUCACAGGUGGUGCAUGGCUGUCGUCAGCCCGUGUCGUGAGAUGUUGGGUUAAGUCCCGCAACGAGCGCAACCCUUGUUCACUGUUGCCAGCACGUUAUGGUGGGGACUCAGUGGAGACCGCCGGGGUCAACUCGGAGGAAGGUGGGGAUGACGUCAAGUCAUCAUGCCCCUUAUGUCCAGGGCUUCACGCAUGCUACAAUGGCUGGUACAGAGAGUGGCGAGCCUGUGAGGGUGAGCGAAUCUCGGAAAGCCGGUCUCAGUUCGGAUUGGGGUCUGCAACUCGACCUCAUGAAGUCGGAGUCGCUAGUAAUCGCAGAUCAGCAACGCUGCGGUGAAUACGUUCCCGGGGCU
rnacentral:rRNA from 1 species